GUGGGGAUAGCUCAGGGGUAAAGCGCUCUCUUAGCAAGGGAGAGGUUUGGGAUUCAAUUCCCCAUAUCUUCA